rnacentral:rRNA from 1 species
AAUGAACGCUGGCGGCGCGCCUAAUACAUGCAAGUCGAGCGAGAAGACGUAGCAAUACGUUUGUAAAGCGGCGAACGGGUGAGGAAUACAUGGGUAACCUACCCUCGAGUGGGGAAUAACUAGCCGAAAGGUUAGCUAAUACCGCGUACGCUUCUUGGACUUCGGUUCAGGGAGGAAAGCGAUGCCGAGGGUAUCGCGCUCUUGGAUGGGCUCAUGUCCUAUCAGCUUGUUGGNGAGGUAACGGCUCACCAAGGCUUCGACGGGUAGCUGGUCUGAGAGGACGAUCAGCCACACUGGCACUGCGACACGGGCCAGACUCCUACGGGAGGCAGCAGUAAGGAAUAUUGCGCAAUGGGGCGAAAGCCUGACGCAGCGACGCCGCGUGGGGGA